rnacentral:rRNA from 1 species
CCUACGGGUGGCUGCAGUGAGGAAUAUUGGUCAAUGGGCUUACGCCUGAACCAGCCAAGUCGCGUGAGGGAAGACUGCCCUAUGGGUUGUAAACCUCUUUUGUCAGGGAGCAAUUGGCGCUACGUGUAGCGUUAUCGAGAGUACCUGAAGAAAAAGCAUCGCCAAACUCCGUGCAGGCAGCCGCGGUAAUACGAGGGAUGCGGGGGUUAUCCGUAUUUAUUGGGUUUAAAGGGUGCGUGGGCGGAAUGCAAAGUCAGCGGUAAAGUCGCGGGGCUCAACCUCGCUCUGCCGUUGAAACUGGCAUUCUUGAGUGGGCGAGAAGUAUGCGGAAUGCGUGGUGUAGCGGUGAAAUGCAUAGAUAUCACGCAGAACUCCGAUUGCGAAGGCAGCAUACCGGCGCCCAACUGACGCUGAAGCACGAAAGCGUGGGUAUCGAACAGGAUUAGAUACCCUAGUAGUC